rnacentral:ncRNA from 2 species
AUUCAUCUUCGGGGCAGGGUGGAAUUCCCGACCGGCGGUAUGGAAAAGUUUUUCCGAGCCCGCGAGCCGAAAGGCUGAUUUGGUGAGAAGCCAAAGCCGACAGUAUAGUCUGGAUGGGAGAAGAUGAAG